AAACUCAAAGGAAUUGACGGGACCCGCACAAGCGGUGGAUGAUGUGGAUUAAUUCGAUGCAACGCGAAAAACCUUACCUACCCUUGACAUGUCCGGAAUCCCGAAGAGAUUUGGGAGUGCUCGCAAGAGAGCCGGAACACAGGUGCUGCAUGGCUGUCGUCAGCUCGUGUCGUGAGAUGUUGGGUUAAGUCCCGCAACGAGCGCAACCCUUGCCAUUAGUUGCUACGAAAGGGCACUCUAAUGGGACUGCCGGUGACAAACCGGAGGAAGGUGGGGAUGACGUCAAGUCCUCAUGGCCCUUAUAGGUGGGGCUACACACGUCAUACAAUGGCCGGUACAGAGGGUAGCCAACCCGCGAGGGGGAGCCAAUCCCACAAAGCCGGUCGUAGUCCGGAUCGCAGUCUGCAACUCGACUGCGUGAAGUCGGAAUCGCUAGUAAUCGCGGAUCAGCAUGUCGCGGUGAAUACGUUCCCGGGUCUU
rnacentral:rRNA from 1 species